AGCUAGCCAGAGAGGUCAACUAGCUAGCCACAGCGGUCAACUAGCUAGCCAGAGAGGUCAACUAGCUAGCCACAGUGGUCAACUAGCUAGCCACAGCGGUCAACUAGCUAGCCAGAGAGGUCAACUAGCUAGCCAGAGCGGUCAACUAGCCUGCCACAGCAGUAAACUAGCUAGCCACAGCGGUCAACUAGCUAGCCACAGCGGUCAACUAGCCAGCCAGAGAGGUCAACUAGCCUGCCACAGCAGUAAACUAGCUAGCCAGAGAGGUCAACUAGCUAGCCACAGCAGUCAACUAGCUAGCCAGAGAGGUCAACUAGCCUGCCACAGCAGUAAACUAGCUAACCACAGCAGUAAACUAGCUAACCACAGCGGUCACCUACAAAGGUGGUUUGAAAUGUGGCAUGAAAUAUCCGAUUCCAUGUACUUUUAGGCUCUUCAGACAGCAGAAAAAUGUAAUGUUCGAAUCGGAUAUGCAAAAAAAUGUGGACAAGGCUUAUUGACUGACAAAGGUGCGUACACCAAGUAUUAACUCUGGGGUGUGAAGACAUCCACAAAAUCAAGACAUCUUCGUUUUUUUUGUGUUUCAUUAAUUUGAAAUAUGUUCUAGAACUUUCUUUCACUUUGAACAUGCAGUAGUAGUAGAUGGUGUAGCUCUAAAUGAAAAAAAUAGAGAAAUUCAAACCCUUUUAGAUUACAUUUUAAGACGGCAAAAUGUCAACAUUGUGCACGUGGUUGGUAGACUUUUCCAAGGCACUGAAGCUGGACAUUUAGUAUAUAUAUAUAUAUAUAUAUUCACACAAAAUAGUAUUACCAUGAUCCUCCCAUUCACACGUUCAGACAACGCAGUGAUGCUGAAGACAGAUAUUUAAGACGUAAGGUCCAUCUGCUGGGCAUCCGACGGGACGACUGCAGCAAGCCUCAAACGAAGGAAUCCACCUGGAGCAAGUAGACGUAGGCUUCAGAGGACAUCGCUCAGUGUUAUCGUAAAACACCGC
ensembl:lncRNA